rnacentral:rRNA from 1 species
CAUACCUAUUCGAAGGGAUAGGGUCGGUUUGGCCGGAUUUCACACAGGUGUUGCAUGGCUGUCGUCAGCUCGUGUCGUGAGAUGUUGGGUUAAGUCCCGCAACGAGCGCAACCCUCAUCCUUAGUUACCAUCAGGUUAUGCUGGGGACUUUAAGGAAACUGCCAGUGAUAAACUGGAGGAAGGUGGGGAUGAUGUCAAGUCAUCAUGGCCCUUAUGGAGUGGGCUACACACGUGCUACAAUGGUGAUUACAAUGGGCUGCAAGGUCGCAAGGCUGAGCUAAUCCUAAAAAAUCAUCUCAGUUCGGAUUGGUCUCUGCAACUCGAGAGCAUGAAGUUGGAAUCCCUAGUAAUCGUGGAUCAACAUGCCACGGUGAAUACCUUCUCGGGUCUUGGACACACUGCCCGUCACGCCCUGGGAAUUGGUUUCACUCCAAGCU